rnacentral:rRNA from 1 species
GCGUAGGUAACCUGCCUUGUAGCGGGGGAUAACUAUUGGAAACGAUAGCUAAUACCGCAUAACAAUGGAUGACACAUGUCAUUUAUUUGAAAGGGGCAAUUGCUCCACUACAAGAUGGACCUGCGUUGUAUUAGCUAGUAGGUGAGGUAAUGGCUCACCUAGGCGACGAUACAUAGCCGACCUGAGAGGGUGAUCGGCCACACUGGGACUGAGACACGGCCCAGACUCCUACGGGAGGCAGCAUG